UACAGAGGUCCCAAGCGUUGUUCGGAUUCACUGGGCGUAAAGGGUGCGUAGGUGGUUGUGCAAGUCUGAUGUGAAAUCUCCGGGCUUAACCCGGAAAUGGCAUUGGAAACUGCGCAGCUAGAGGGUUGGAGGGGGGACUGGAAUGACUUGGUGUAGCAGUGAAAUGCGUAGAUAUCAAGUGGAACACCAGUGGCGAAAGCGGCUCACUGGACCACAACUGACGCUGAGGCGCGAAAGCUAGGGGAGCAAACAGG
rnacentral:rRNA from 1 species